rnacentral:rRNA from 1 species
CGACGGGUGAGUAACACGUAGAGAACCUACCUUACGACAGGGGGACAACGGCUGGAAACGGCUGCUAAUACCGCAUAAGCACCCAGUUUCGCAUGAAACAGAGUGAAAGAGUAAAUCGGUGUAAGAUGGCUCUGCGUCUGAUUAGCUAGUUGGUGGGGUAAAGGCUCACCAAGGCGACGAUUAGUAGCCGGCCUGAGAGGGCGACCGGCCACAUUGGGACUGAGACACGGCCCAGACUCCUACGGGAGGCAGCAG